rnacentral:rRNA from 1 species
UACGGAGGGUGCAAGCGUUAUCCGGAUUCACUGGGUUUAAAGGGUGCGUAGGUGGGGCGGUAAGUCAGUGGUGAAAUCUCCGAGCUUAACUUGGAAACUGCCAUUGAUACUAUCACUCUUGAAUAUUGUGGAGGUCAGCGGAAUAUGUCAUGUAGCGGUGAAAUGCUUAGAUAUGACAUAGAACACCAAUUGCGAAGGCAGCUGGCUACGCAUAUAUUGACACUGAGGCACGAAAGCGUGGGGGAU